AGCCGCUGUACUCUACUUCUUCUUGGCUUCAGUUCGGUUAAUUGCACCAACAGACCGUCUAAUAAUCUGCAGUUCUUCAGGGAAGGGCUCGCCUGAAGGACACCGCUGUGCCUACCAUUUUCUCACACUCCAAGGAAAAAGAGGACAACCCAGCUGCAGAGAAACUCAUAUUGUUCGGGAUGAGUAAGCAGCUCCUCCUCUUGUGGGAAUCCCUGUCACGUCUUACUGUAAAUGACAAGCCGAUCCGCGGAAACGUCAGGACACAUCUCGAGUGGACGCCUGUGUGAUCGACCUUUCACGAGCUGAGUCUGUGUGCGGCGGCUUGUGUGACGUACAGAGCUACGGUUCGUUCCCUGACCCAGAGGAGACGUAAAAAGUUACGUCAAAUGAUUCAGUCCUUAAUCCUAAAAAGACAGAAAACGCUGACGGUUGAACACAGAGUAAAGAUGGAGGACGUGCAGUCGGAAACAGAUGUGGUGAUAAAUAACAAAGAAAAGAUAAUGAAAUAUCACUUUGUCAUGUAUAGUGAUGGACUGUCUUAAAUGGCACUUUCUAGUCUUACUCUAUAACUUACAUUCCUACAUUCAUACACACAUUCAACGCUACUAUUUUACGGGUGAUCCAUCCAUCUGAAUCUGUAUCUUUGAUUAAAUGUAGCGGUGAAUAGAAAUGUCUAUUAAUAGCUAGUCUUCUGGGAGUGCUCUGUUUCUGUCUUCUUAUUUGAACCCACUAUGUGUCCGGUGCUAAUCAACAUCAUUAAGUCGACACUGUAAAUGUUGUUCUCUCCACAUUGUGAAACAAGGGUCAUCGAUCAUGUUGACGGGGGAAUAGUGAACAUACAAACACACACACGCACAAACACAAACACAUCUUAUCCCGAAACCUUAACACGCAAUCACCCCUGGCCUUAACUAUCACUUCUAAAUGUCUAAACAUUAAACCAUAUCCUAACUCUGGCCUAAACCUAAUCCCAACCCUAAAAGAGAGUGUUAACCUGCAUUCUUUUAAAAGUUAAAGGUCCAUGCACAUACACACACUCUCACACACACACACACACACACACACACACACACAAACACAAACACACCUACUUACUGUUUGUUUUCCUCUGAUUAUUAAGUUUGACAUUGCUUCCAAAAUCUGUGGGAUCUUCACUCUGACCCUUUAGUCCACAUGGUUGAUGAGCUCUGGGCUGAAGAG